CUCAUAUGGAGUCUUUAUGACUGAUUAAUUUGGAAUCCAGUUGAGAACAUGAUAAGUAGUUUCAAAAAUAUAACCUUAAUAGAUGACUGACAGACUUGUUAACCCCAUCAUGGAUCGAACUAUAUCUAAUAAAUUUGAUUCCAAUAAGAGAUAAUCCUAUUCUUUUCUAGAUAUGUCAAAAAUUCAUCGAAAAAAUAUUCUCCUCUU
rnacentral:lncRNA from 1 species